rnacentral:pre_miRNA from 1 species
CCGGAUAAAUCCUGUGUGCAUUGAUAGAAAGUGAAAUGAUUUUAUUCAUAAGAUCUACCAUAUCUAGCACCAGGGUAUAUCGGGAU